rnacentral:rRNA from 1 species
UGCAAGUCGAGCGGAGAGAGGUAGCUUGCUACUGAUCUUAGCGGCGGACGGGUGAGUAAUGCUUAGGAAUCUGCCUAUUAGUGGGGGACAACAUUUCGAAAGGAAUGCUAAUACCGCAUACGUCCUACGGGAGAAAGCAGGGGAUCUUCGGACCUUGCGCUAAUAUGAGCCUAAGUCGGAUUAGCUAGUUGGUGGGGUAAAGGCCUACCAAGGCGACGAUCUGUAGCGGGUCUGAGAGGAUGAUCCGCCACACUGGGACUGAGACACGGCCCAGACUCCUACGGGAGGCAGCAGUGGGGAAUAUUGGACAAUGGGCGGAAGCCUGAUCCAGCCAUGCCGCGUGUGUGAAGAAGGCCUUAUGGUUGUAAAGCACUUUAAGCGAGGAGGAGGCUACUUUAGUUAAUACCUAGAGAUAGUGGACGUUACUCGCAGAAUAAGCACCGGCUAACUCUGUGCCAGCAGCCGCGGUAAUACAGAGGGUGCAAGCGUUAAUCGGAUUUACUGGGCGUAAAGCGCGCGUAGGCGGCUAAUUAAGUCAAAUGUGAAAUCCCCGAGCUUAACUUGGGAAUUGCAUUCGAUACUGGUUAGCUAGAGUGUGGGAGAGGAUGGUAGAAUUCCAGGUGUAGCGGUGAAAUGCGUAGAGAUCUGGAGGAAUACCGAUGGCGAAGGCAGCCAUCUGGCCUAACACUGACGCUGAGGUGCGAAAGCAUGGGGAGCAAACAGGAUUAGAUACCCUG